GGGUGAUUAGCUCAGUUGGUUAGAACACCAGCCUCACACGCCGGAGGUCACGGGUUCGAGUCCCGUCCAAACCACCA
rnacentral:tRNA from 1 species